AGUGAACGCUGGCGGCAGGCCUAACACAUGCAAGUCGAACGGCAGCACAAGAGAGCUUGCUCUCUGGGUGGCGAGUGGCGGACGGGUGAGGAAUGCAUCGGAAUCUGCCCAUUUGUGGGGGAUAACCUCGGGAAACCGGGACUAAUACCGCAUACGACCUACGGGUGAAAGCAGGGGAUCUUCGGACCUUGCGCAGAUGGAUGAGCCGAUGCCGGAUUAGCUUGUUGGAGGGGUAAAGGCCCACCAAGGCGACGAUCCGUAGCUGGUCUGAGAGGAUGAUCAGCCACACUGGGACUGAGACACGGCCCAGACUCCUACGGGAGGCAGCAGUGGGGAAUAUUGGACAAUGGGCGCAAGCCUGAUCCAGCCAUGCCGCGUGUGUGAAGAAGGCCUUCGGGUUGUAAAGCACUUUUGUUGGGAAAGAAAAGCAGCCGGUUAAUACCCGGUUGUCAUGACGGUACCCAAAGAAUAAGCACCGGCUAACUUCG
rnacentral:rRNA from 1 species